CCAAUAGCGUAUAUUAAAGUUGUUGCAGUUAAAAAGCUCGUAGUUGAAUUUCGGGAUCAAUAUAUCGGUCGUGCCGUUGGUACGUACUGGUAUCAUUGGUUCCUCCUUUCUGACGAACCAUGAUGUCAUUAAUUUGGUGUUAUGGGAAGUUAGGACUGUUACUUUGAAAAAAUUAGAGUGUUUAAAGCAGGCUUUAGCUUGAAUACAUUAGCAUGGAAUAAUGAAAUAGGACGUUCGAACCUAUUUUGUUGGUUUCUAGGAUCAACGUAAUGAUUAAGAGGGAUAGUUGGGGGCAUUAGUAUUCAAUUGUCAGAGGUGAAAUUCUUGGAUUUAUUGAAGACUAACUACUGCGAAAGCAUUUGCCAAGGAUGUUUUCAUUAAUCAAGAACGAAAGUUAGGGGAUCGAAGACGAUCAGAUACCGUCGUAGUCUUAACCAUAAACUAUGCCGACUAGGGAUCGGAUGAUGUUAAUUUUUUAAUGACCCAUUCGGCGCCUUACG
rnacentral:rRNA from 1 species